GCCAAAGUGCUUGGUUGGCAUUAUUUUUUAUGGUUACCCUUCUUAUUCUAGAAUGUAUGCAGAAGAAACAAGUUACUACUUUUUCUCUAGGUGAUUGAUGAAAUAGAUGGAGCUCUUGGUGAUGGCAAAGGUGCUGUGGAGGUUAUUCUAAAGAUGGUUUCUGCAGAUAAGAAGUCUGAUACAGGGAAGGAGAAUUUUCCAAAUGAAGAAAAUCAUGAAAGUACAUAGAAAGUUUAUCAUUCAUAUGGAGUUUCCUUUUCAUGAUUCCCUGGAAAAUGGGUUCAUAUAUUUGUUCAACCAACAAUUAAUCGUGUUGUCAGCAGGUGAUCCUUGACUACCAUGGCUGAUGUUUAAUUGCUGUGACAAUUUCAAGCCUUUCCAUUU